GUGCCAGCAGCCGCGGUAAUACGGGGGGAGCAAGCGUUGUCCGGAAUCAUUGGGCGUAAAGGGCGUGUAGGCGGUUUGGCAAGUCGAAUGUGAAAUCCCACGGCUCAACCGUGGAACUGCGUUCGAAACUGCCUGACUUGAGUGCGGGAGAGGUGUGCGGAAUUCCUGGUGUAGCGGUGGAAUGCGUAGAUAUCAGGAAGAACACCGGUGGCGAAGGCGGCACACUGGCCCAGCACUGACGCUGAGGCGCGAAAGCGUGGGGAGCGAACGGGAUUAGAUACCCGCGUAGUCC
rnacentral:rRNA from 1 species